rnacentral:rRNA from 1 species
GAUGAACGCUGGCGGCGGGCCUAAUACAUGCAAGUCGAGCGAACGCACGAUAAGCUCGCUCCUUUGAUGUUAGCGGCGGACGGGUGAGUAACACGUGGAUAACCUACUUCUAAUACGGGGGUAACUUCGUGAAACCGCAGACACUACCGCCUCAUAUUGUCAACCGCAUGGUUCAAGAGUUAAUGACGGCUUUGCUGUCACUUAUAGACGGUGCCGCGGUGCAUUAGCUAGUUGGUAAGGUAACGGCUUAGCAAGGCGACGAUGCAUAGCCGACCUGAGAGGGUGAUCGGCCACACUGGAACUGAGACACGGUCCAGACUCCUACGGGAGGCAGCAGUAGGGAAUCUUCCGCAAUGGGCGAAAGCCUGACGGAGCAACGCCGCGUGAGUGAUGAAGGUCUUCGGAUCGUAAAACUCUGUUAUUAGGGAAGAACAUAUGUGUGAGUAACUCUGCACGUCUUGACGGUACCUAAUCAGAAAGCCACGGCUAACUACGUG